AACGAACGCUGGCGGCAUGCCUAACACAUGCAAGUCGAACGAGACCUUCGGGUCUAGUGGCGCACGGGUGCGUAACGCGUGGGAACCUGCCCUUAGGUUCGGAAUAACUCCCCGAAAGGGGUGCUAAUACCGGAUAAUGUCUUCGGACCAAAGAUUUAUCGCUUUUGGAUGGGCGCGCGUUGGAUUGGCUGGUUGGUAGGGGAAAAGCCGACCAAGGCCGCGAUCCAUAGCUGGUCGGAGAGGAUGAUCAGCGACACUGGGAUUGGGACCAGGCCCAUACCCCUGGGGGGGGCGGGGGAAGGGAAUAUGGGAAAGGGGGCGAAAGCCUGCACCGCCAAGUGCGGGGUGGGGGUGAAGGCUUUGGGGUUGUAAAUCUCUUUUACCCGGGAUUGAAUGACGGUAACGGGGAAAAAAGCCCCCGCCUACUCCGGG
rnacentral:rRNA from 1 species